UUUUUAUCUGGCCCUCCAACUUGUUUUUGAGGUUUAAAUAUUCUCGCAAUCUGAUAUUAAAGUGAUCUCUGUGCCAAAGCUUAGCGCGUUCAUCAGUGGUGAGUUUAACAACACUCAACUGCAGGUAAAACAGCACUCAGCGGUGAGUUUGACCAAAGCAACACUCAACUGCAGGGAAAACGGCAUAAAAAGGUGAGUUUAACAACGCUCCAAGGCGCGUGCAAGUAAGCAGUUUAACCGUUUUCUUACACACCAUUCUCGCUUAUCGCUUAUUCAUAGUUCAUCAUCUCUAUGAAAUCACGUUCAAGAAGUCUCAUUCAGCACACAUCGCGAUACUUGCCAUCAGUUUCCAUGUGCCACAGGGUCGCUGAAAAGAUGUAAAGGAAGCAGUCAUCCCUGUGGUGUUUGUGGAGAGGUUUUCCUUCAGAAAUGGAGAAGACAAAAAGCUGCGGAGGCAGACAUUUGCAGCAGAUUGUUCGCAGAUAAUGAUGUUCUUCUUGAUCAUGCACAAGGACUCACCUCUUUAACUCUUUAUCUUCCCAACACACACAGAAAUGCUCCCUUUAUCAGUGUUUAGACUUUGCAGUGCAGUUUUGUUUUAGUUCUAAGCUUAUAAUGAAUACAUUGUGACCUUCCAGCAACCCAUAUAUUGUAUACAGAACCAGUGAUCAAAACAAUGGUUGAAAAUAGUAUUUUUAUAUUGAUAAAGCAUUGUGUUCUCUUUUUCAAGCUUCAUACAGUAAACUUUACUUCUGGUGCUUUUAUCAUAAAAAAACAAACAUCAGUUCUCAUCAGCAGUUUUCGUAAAGGACGUAUUCAUGCACAGCCAUCCCCUAGUUCCAGUCAUGAAGUGAAUGAUGUUAUUGUCAGUUUUAUUUCUGCAAUUUUAUG